AUUAUAAAUGUGAAUGUUAGUAUUUUUCAUUAAUUAGCAUCUAGCAAUAAAUAGAAAAAGUCAUGAUUCUUCUCUCAACAUAAGUUGAAAGGUUUCCUCUUAGGAGUAAUGACCUUUCCUGCACAUUACCUAGCAAUUGACCACUUAUAUGAUGUGUGAAGUCUGAAUUUUACUCAGAUUUGUAAUAUUUAGGCAGUCUAACAUUUCAUUUUGAGGUGGUUUUGUAGGACCUUUCAUUACUAGGCUAUCUGUCCUCUCUGGCUAGACCAUAAUUUGACCCUUUGUAUUGAAAAUUAAAUAAAAAAAAUUUCAUUCUCUUUAUAUCACAUAUAAUGCAAGCAAUCUCUAGAUAUUUUCUAUAAUUAUUGCAGACCUCCAAAGCCUUCUUUGAUAGUCCAAACAGUCCUGACCCCUGGAGGUGAUAUAACUUGUGUGGUAAAAGGGGUGAGCACAGAAAUUUGCCAGCAAUGUCCAGGUAAGUCCCUAUAAGAAAAACUAUAGGACAGUUACAGGAAAAGUGGCUGAGGAGUGGGAAGGAGUGGUUGACCUCUUUUGUACCUUUAAAUGGGGCAGAAAUCAUGUGUCCACAUGCUAUUCAAUAAUAAAUUCUUUUUAUUUUGUUUGUGAUAUACAGGAUGAGUUUCUGUCUGAUUUAUUUGUACAUCAACAUGUGUAUAUAUGUGUAUCACAACAGUAAGCAAGCAGGAUUUCUAAAGAGGCUUUAGUAGAGAUCUACCCCUUCCCCAUCCUCGUGGCAGAUGUACAGUACUUCUUUUGGGAAGGGAUACAUGACCUGGCAGUACUUUGCUUCAGAGAAGUCAAUCAUGGUCACAAUCUUUCCAUCUAUCUUCUUCUGAUGGAAAGAAAAAAAUCAUGUAGGAGCUCAACCCCAUAGAGAACUUCUUUUUCACUGGUCUUCUAUAAUAGAAGAGUAAUAAUACAUGUCCAUUUAGUGCCUGGGCAAAUUCAAACUUACAUUUUUCUUCUGAUCAAGCAUAUUUCUGGUCUUUUCCAGAAGGUUUUUGCUUUCUUUUCCUAAAGGUUUUUGCUUGUUCGUGAUUUACUCAAUUAUUGCCUAAUACGUUCCAGGCACUUUUCUAGGCAUAUUAAGAUGAAGAAAUACAGUGCCGUCUUCAAGAAACACAUCAUCUUAUAAAAGUAACAGGUUGAUAAACAAAUAUUUGUCUUUAUAUUCCUAUAAACAAUCCAAACCCCAAAAGACCUACAGCUUCAAUCUUAUGUUCCCUUCUGGUCCAUCUAGGUGUUUAUCUUACUUUAGAGCAAUUAUGUCUUUUAAAUGUUCUCUGUAUGAAUGAUUUACCAUGAAGUGUAUUUGGAGCAGGGUUUCUCAGCUUAAACUUGAACUCAAACCAAUUGGAAUAAGAAGUCCCCAAAUUUGUUAUGCUCAUAAAUAUUUUAUAAAAUAUGGAAAUUAGCUGUUAACUGAAAAUUAAGAACAAAUGAACAUAGGCCUCUUGGUUUUAAAAGUAUUUUAUAAAGAAAAUUAUUUUAAACUAUUUACUAAAAUAAUUUCAUGCAAAAAUAGUGUAAUGAGUCCCCAUGUACCCAUCACUUAGCCAGUUAUAACCAGUCCACUCUCUUUGUUUCAUCUUUUUUUUUCUUUUUCCUUUUUGUUCUUUUAUGGAAAGUGCUAGAGCAUUUUAAAGCAAAUCCACAGAAUUGUAUCAUUUCUCCCAUAAAAACUUGAUACCUUAAUAGAAAGAUUAUUCUUAAAGAACAUACACACACACACAAAAUAAUAUUAUGACACCCAACACAAUUAACGAUAGUUCUUUAAUAUCUAAUUCCUUGUUUAUGUUUAAUUUUCCCCAACUGUCUCAAAAAUUGUCUUUUUAACAAUUGAUAAAGGACCAUUUUGCAACUGGUAGAUUUUUCUAUUAAGUCUCUUUUAAUGGGCAUCCUUGUACUCACCCCCCCCCUUUUUAAUAUCAUUUAUUUUGGGGGAAAACUAGAAUUUCUUACAUUCUGGAUUUGGCUUAUAUAUUUUUGCAGUGUAAAUUAGCAUACAGGAUUCUGUUUCCCUUUUUUUUAAUUUCUUAAAACUAGUACUUAUAUCUGCAGGCUUAGUUAAAUCAAGUCCUUUUUUCAGGGAUAUUUUAUAGGUAGUACUGUGUAAUUUCUAUUACUUUACAUCAUGUGACACAUAAUAUGUGUUUGGUUUACAUUUGGUGACAUUAAGAUUAAUUACAGGGCUCAGGUGGUGUCAGUUCAGAUCCAUUCAUUAUAAUUUUCCAUUAAUCAUUCACCUAAUGGUUUUAGCAGACACUGUUGAUUGUAACUUACAUUCAUUAGUUCAUUAGGUAUUGCAAAAUAGUUAUUUUCUAAUUCUGUCAUUUAUCCUGAAUUUAUUAGCUGUGAUUCUUUUCUUAAAGAAGAAUUUUCCUUCACCAAGUAUUUGGUGCCCUAAAAUAGUGUUCAUCCCCAAAAAGAAAAAUAAAUGAUUGAUCCUCUACCUUUAUUUAUCAAUUUUGAAAAUAAUGAGUUGGUGCCCUAUCUUGCUUUCUACUGGGUCUUUAUGAUGGUUUAAAAUAUCACAAUAUUAUUUUUCAUUUUCAUUUAGCACUUCUUUAUCUUACAUGGUUCCUUUUCUAUGACAUCUCAGUCUGAUUUCAAAAAGGAACAUUCUCUUAAAUCUUAAAUCUUCUUGAGACCAUAAAUCAUGAAUCUACUGAAAAUUCUUCUUCUUUGUAUAAGUCAGGAAGGAAAAGAAGCCAUGCUAGCUUUUUCAAUUGGUGGAAAUGUAAUCUAGAACAUUGGUUACAAAAGGGGUGGGAGGUCUAAAGAAAUACAGAGGUAAAGAUAUUAGUAACAGCAAGAAACUAUCACCCAUGUAGGCUGAAGGACAAAAGGAAAGUGGUGGUAUGCAGUGUCCACAAUAAUUUUAUCACUAAGGCCACUGGAGCACCUGCAACUGACAUUGGAGCCACUGCUAUUACCACCACUACACGAAGCGUGGAACUCACAUUUGCACUAAUGCUGCAGUAACUGAGAAGACUUCUGUCACUGUUGCUGUUGGAACCAGAAUACCUUAGCACUAUGCUGACGGGGAUGAUAAAGCACUCCCUUCUGCCACUGCUGCUGGACUGAAUUGUCUGAGAAGAACCCAUGAGCCUGCAUUCACUCUGUACAGCUGUCACUGCCAGAGGAGCUACUAAAAUCCUAAAAUAGGAGGAAAAAUGGCUUCUUCUUUUCCUCUUGCCUGUCAGUCUAGUCUCCUGCAGUCUUCCCAUUGAUAGAACCUGACCAGAAGAACUACAUUGUCAAGGGAGUCUUUGAAAUGUAGUUUUCAGACUUCUAUCUUCCUCCAAUAUACAGCAAAACAUGAUGGUGCAGAAAUGAAGCUGACAGCAGAUGGACAAAUGACCACACAUGCUCCUUUUAGUAAAUCCAUUAUUGCAGAGGGAGCCAACUGCUCCAAAUGCUCAGUAAUACAUGGAGCUGCAGAAUUUUUUUUUUCAAAAGUCCUGUGAUUUUCCUUGCUUACUAUUCCAUAAAUAGGAAGUUUUGUGUCUGUCCACUGUGCUCAUAUAGUCUUAAAUAAGAGUUAAACCUUUCAGAAAUUACAGAGAGGACUUUAGUUUCAAAUAAAUGGCAUAAAAUUUAAAAAUAUAUAAAUAUUGACAUCAGAGCAUUUUGAGGUCAAACUAUCUGGGAAAAGAAGAAAACAAAGCCAUGGUCUUUAGUGGUAGCUUCAGAUCUAUAAAACAUCAUGGAUAGGAUCUCUAAGGAAAACCCUCUACCAAACUGGAUCUCUGCUAGGUGAUAGAUUGUGUCUGGAUCCAGGUUGGGCCCUUUCCAAGUAGUCAGUAUACUCUUACUGCAGCCAGUCUGUAAACAUGAGGGGAAGCCAAAGGGAUACUCUAGAGUUCCUCAGACUGUCUUUGUAUCUUAAUGCAGGUCACAAAACCUUUGCCUCUCAUUAUAAAUGUGUCAUGUAAGCGGGCUUGUUUCUACUUAGUUACCUGGAAUAACACCAUGGGUCUCCCAUCCCUUUCCCCUCAUCUUAUCAGUGUUUUACCUUAUAAACAUUUCUCCAAAUGCCUGGUAGAUGGUUGAUACUUAGCUUUGCUUUCCAAGGCUCCUAAAAAUUUCUCCUUUCUAUGCUUUCUCUUUCUAGCUUUGUAAAUAGGAAUUAAAGAGGGGAAUCUUAGGCCCUGUACUUACAAAAUAACCUUGCUGAAAAAUAUACCUGUCCUAUAAUUUUUAUUUCAGUACUUGCCCUAACAUGCUUCAUUACUUGUAGAUAGCUAUAAAAUUUAUUUUAAAAUGUUUCUAUCUAUAUGAUGUAUUAGUAGUUAUUUCAGAAAUUUUAUGUUAAUGUUUUAAAUAAUAUAUUUAUUUAAUAAAUUUUAUUUAGUCAUUUAGUGAAAAGGUAACAUUUUCCUAUGGUUAAAAAUACAAAAUAUAAAAAUGGUAAAUAGUGAAAAACCUCCUUCCCAUCUGUGUGCUUCAGCCGUUCAGUUCUUUUCCCUAGAUUCAGCUCUCAUGUAUUUUUCCAAAUAUAUUUUAUGCAUGAUAGUAUAUCCAUAUAUCCUGCUUUGCCUCUUGCUUUUUUCACUUAAUAUAUACUGGAGAUCACUUCAUAUCAGUACAUAAAUAAAUGUCAAUUCCCCCACACAUAGGAUAAAUUCCUAGAAGUGGAGUUACUGGAUUAAAGGCUAUAGUUUUAGAAAUUCUGAUGGGUAUUGCCAAAUCAUCCUCCAUAGGAAAAUUUAUAUUCCCAUCAUCAAUGUAUAAGAGUAUCGGUUUCCUCACAUUCUCACCAUCACAGUGUGUUAAGCUUUUGAUCUUUGACAGGUGAAGAAACUGUCAUAAUCAGUGUAAUAAAAUAAAUUCUUAUAUUAUAAAUGAAGAUAAGCAUUUUUGUGUGAUUAAGUACUAUUUUUAUCUCCUUUUCUGUGAACCACUGAUCCAUAUUCUUUGUCUAUUAUUUUUUCAAUUGGUUUAAUAGUCUUUUUCUUAUUCAUUUGUAGAAAUGCUUCAUUAUUUCAGGAAAACUAGCCCUCUUUUUGCAAGCUAAGCUGCAAAUAUCUUCCUAUUGUAUCACUUGCCUUUUGUCUUUGUUUAUGGUCAUCUUUCCAAUUUAAAGAAUAUACGAAAGUGAAUUUAUCAAGCUUUUAAUUUAUGGAUUUUGAGUUUUAUGUCAUAGCUAGAAAGAAAUUUCUGAAUAAUUAAUCUAUGGAUUUGAGCACCUUUACAGUCUACUAAACUGUUUAAUUUAUUUGUGUCUAUUUCUGGGCUUUGUAUUCUGUUCCAUUGAUCUGUGUCUACUCUAUGCCUUGUGAUGCAAGUAUUAUUCCUUUGUAAUAUGUUUACUCUCUGGUAAGACAUCUCUCCCUUGUUAAUCUUAUCUUUAGUACUUUAAUGACUUUAGGAUCUCAAGAGGUUCUGAAACUGCAGAUGUAGGCCAUCUUCUUUAAUAUCCAUUUAACAGGAAAAGGCAUUGGGUGAGUCAUAGUCUAUGCAAGCAUGGAGUCAGUAUCCAAUGUCCAGGCUUUUUUUUUUUUUUUUUUUAAUACAAGUUAGUUAACAUAUGGUGUAAUAAUGACUUCAGGAAUAGAAUUUAGUAAUUCAUCACUUACUUAAAAUACCCAGUGCUUAUCCCAACAAGUGUCCUCCUUAAUGCCCCUUGUCCAUUUAGCCCAUUCCCCCACCUAAUACCCCUCCAGUAACCCUCAGCUUGUUCUUUAUAUUUAAGAGUCUCUUAUGGUUUAUCUCCCUCUCUAUUUUUAUAUUAUUUUUGCUUCCCUUCCCUUAUGUUCAUCUGUUUUGUAUCUUAAAUUUCCCAUAUGAGUGAAAUCAUUUGAUAUUUGUCUCUCUAUAGCUGACUUAUUUCACUUAGCAUAGUACAUUCUAGUUCCAUCCACAUUGCAAAUGGCAAGAUUUCAUUCUUUUUGAUGGCUGAAUAACAUUCCACUGUAUACAUAUACCAUGUCUUCUUUAUCCAUUCAUCAGUUGAUGGACACUUGGGCUCUUUCCAUACUUUGGCUAUUGUUGAUAGUGCUGCUAUAAACAUUGAGGUGCAUGUGCCUCCUGUAUCCUUUGGAUAGAUACCUAGUUGUGCAAUUACUGGGUCAUAAGGUAAAUCCAUUUUUAAUUUUUUGAGGAACCCCCCUCCUGUUUUCCAGAGUGGCUGCACCAGUUUGAAUUCCUACCAGCAGUGCAAAAGGGUUCCUCUUCCUCUGCAUCCUUGCCAAUAUCUGUUGUUGCCUGAGUUGUUAAUUUUAGCCAUUCUGACUGGUGUGAAGUGGUAUCUCACUGUGGUUUUGAUUUGUAUUACCCCAAUGAUCAGUGAUGUUGAGAAUUUUUUCAUGUGUCUGUUUGCCAUCUGGAUGUCUUCUUUGGAAAAGUGUCUAUUCACGUCUUUUGCCCAUUUCUUCACUGGAUUAUUUGGGUUUUUUUGGGUGUGGAGUUUGACAAGUUCUUUAUAGAUUUUGGAUACUCCAAUGUCCAGGCUUUUUGCUGGAUGCAGAGAGAAUUUCGGUAAACUGGUGAUUUAAAAUGGUGACUUUUGUAGUCAUCAUAAUUGAAGAAAUUUGGAGACUGUUAAGUGAAUGUUACUGUGUAAAUUUCUGCCCCAUUCUGCCUAAAACUAAAGAAAUGAGGGAGUUAUCAUUUCGGAGAGUCAAUAGAAAAGCCAACACAGAUAAAGGGAAAAAAAACAGAUUUGGCAUUGGAUCUAGAGCAAAGCACGAAGAUCUUGAAUCAACACUACAUUUAUGAAAAUGGAGCCAGAGACAAGUUACGUGUCUACUUAUAUGCCUAUUUGGGUGAUCUUCAGUCAUCUUUCUUAGUUUACGUGCAUGAUUCAGCUUCAACUCUGAUGUAUUAAGUUGUUACUGUCUGCUCUGGGAGAAAAGCAAUAUAGAGACACUUGUAAAAUCUUUGUAAAAUCCUGGAGUAAAUUGUCUCAGUGAAAAGCCUGUUUUGUCACUUACUAGAUGUGGAACUUAAACAAGAUGCAUGAACUCUCUGUGCAGCUACCUCCUCCUCCCCAUUUUCCCUAUCUGUAAAAUGUAAAUAAUAGUAGCUCUGCUUCAUUGGGGUGUCUUGAGAACUAAAUGAGAUUAUAUGGCUGGCACUUAGCAUAUUGUGUGUGCCGAUUAGGUACUAAAUAAUAGUUAUUGUUAGCUGUAAUGAUGAUCAUAAUUUCAUUUAUUUUAACAACUAUAUGAUGAAAAUUUAUUUUUAUUUUCACUUUACAGAAACCAAGGUUUUAUGUCUUUCCCAAUUUCCAUAGUGAGGCUGUUACUGGAAGAAGACAUCACAGGACACCACUGGAAUCUUAUCUGGAAGAUUUACCAAAUCUUGGAGAAAGUGGAACAGGAGUCAAAGAUACAAACUCAACUCAGACUGGUCAAGUAACUGGGAACUUACUGGCUCUCGUAGAUGAGAAGUCUACAACAGAGCAGAUAAGUACUAAUUUUUGGACUAGGUGCCACUUUUCCAGUGAAUCCAGCAAAAGUCCCAAGAUUCACUCUAAUUAAACCAACUUUGUUUAUAUACCUAUCCUUGAAUCACUGUUCCCAAAGAAGGGAAAAUACAGUUUUUCCCAGUCUUGGAGUUGGAGUUAAAGUCAUGUUUCUACUUCACUCCAUGCCCAAAAAUAAGUGAAUUGAGAAUAAAGAAAGGAUAUUUUCUAUAGGAUAAUCAAAGUGGCAUUACCAGAAGAAGGAAGGGAUAGCAGGCAAGCAAAAACAGAUGUUUAUCAUGCAUGAUAAAAAAUGUGAUGAAACAUAUUCUGUUAUUUCAUUCAUUCAUUCAAACAUUAAGAGAAUAAAAAAUAUUACAGCACAGUCUGCCUUCGAGGAAAUUAUAGCUUUUAAAAAUAAUAUUAAUACAUUAUUAUUAUGAUAUACUAGGUUCCACUAAAGGAAUACAAACAAAAUAAGCUAUGAAAAUACAUACUAGGUCCAUCAGUUAUGUUUGCAGAUGCCUUGGCUAUGAUUUUGUUAUUAAAUUUCACAUUAAUUCCCACCACUAACAUGCUAGUACACACGAGUUUGAAAAAAACAAAGACCUCACUCAUAAUUCUUGCUAAGGUGAAUAGCCUUACUUUAGGUGGGUCAUAAUAUAAUACAGAAUCAACAGCUGAGGUAGUGGUUUUUCAUGAUCUGCCACUGCUUGAUGCUUCUAGAAAAGAGUAAGCUGGCAGCAUCCACAUUGAGAAUUUGUUAACUUUGUAUACUACAAUUUACUUUUUGAUGUACAAUGCCACAACUACUAUUAAAUUUCAUACUAUGGCAGGCAGUUAUUUAUUAGAUAGGAAACUGCUCUCUUUAAAAAAUGUCUUUCACUUUUCCACCACUUUAGUAGCACUGCAGUUUAAUUGAAAAUUAGUCCAGUCAAUCUGCUGUGGGCUCCUGAGAAAUAAUUUGUGUGAAUAACUACCACCAAAAACUUCCCCAAGGAAAAGCUUUCAUCAGGACUGAGAACACUUUCUGAUGAUUCUAAUAAUUACCUUUCUUUGAGUUUCUGGCUUACCGAUAUGGUUGUCAUAAAGUGCUUUGCUGAUUUUCUUUCAUGCCUCUUGCUUUUAUAAAUCCCACAACAGAAGGAGAAAACUGGUCAGGACAUGAGUGUUUUUUAAGUACUGCUUUGCAUGAAGUGUUUAUUGAACAAACCCUGAAAAAUAUUCUUCUUGAAUGUAUUAGAACGUGGACCUAAUUCAUGCUUCUAAGUCCCUAAAGAAUUUUCUGUGAUACGGUUGUUAUGGAUAAUGAUUCCACGAAACAUAACUAUUGCCAUGUGUCUUAAAGAUAUAUUAGUGAAACAAAUGUUAUUUAGUUUAAUUGUCCCUGAAAGCAGAGCCAGAAGUAAGAACCAGAGUUCAAGUAGUUUAUUUAGGAGGUGAUCUUAAGAAUCAGGAAUGAGGGAGUAGAGACAGUGAAACAGGAAAGAGAAAAAGUCAGUAUAAGAGUGUUUUGUCAAUGUCACUAUUGGGAGCAUUGGGAUCUCAAUUUUACUGGGAUUGUGAUACAUUUGCAAAAUACUUCCCAGAAUUUUCCAGCCAAAGGACAGGAAGCUGGGGCACUUAUCCACUGGCUCCUAUUCAAUACUCUGCAGGGUAGAAGUGGAGAGAGUGGGCAUCCUUGUCUUAUUCUUCAUCUUAGAGGAAAAACUUUCACCCUUUCAUCAGUCAGUACAAUGUUAGCUGUGGACUUGUCAUAUAUGUCCUUUAUUAUGUUGACUGAUAUUCCCACUAGACCCACUUUGUUGAGAGUUUUUAUCAUAAACGGAAGUUGAAUUUUGUCAAAUUCUUUUUCUGCAUCUAUUGAGAUGAUCAUAUGAUUUUAUCCUUCAUUUUGUUAAUGUGGUAUGUAUCACAUUGAUUGAUUUGCACAUGUUGAGCCAACAUCGCAUCCUUCGAAUAAAUCCCGCUUGAUCAUUGUGUAUGACUCUUUAAAUUUAUUGUUGAAUUUGUUUACUUAUUUUGCUGAGAAAUUUUGCAUCUAGAUUCAUCAGGGAUAUUGGCAUAUAUAUUGGCAUGUAUAUAUAUAUAUUUUUUGUGGCAUCCUUGUCUGGUUUUGCAUCAGGGUAUAGCUAGCUUCAUAAAAUGAGUUUGAAAAAGUUCUCUCCUCUUCUAUUUUUUUUUCUUCUAUUUUGAAAAUUAUUGGUAUUAAUUCUUCUUUGAGUAUAUGAUAGAAUUCACCAGUGAAACAAUUUCAUCCUAGAUUUUUGUUUGUUAAGAGGUUUUUGAUUACUGAUUCAAUCUCCUUACUAGUAAUCAGUCUGUUCAGAUGUUCUAUUUCUUCAUAAUUCAACCUCAUAGGUUGCAUAUUUCUAGGAAUUUAUCCAUUUAUUCUAGGCUGCCCAAUUUUUUGGCAUACAAUUGUUUAUCGUGGUCCUUUUUUUUUAAUGUUUAUUUUUGAGAGAGAGAGAGAGAGAGAGAGAGCACUCAUGUGAGUGGGGGAGGGGCAGAUAGAGAGGGGGACAAAGGAUCCAAAAAGGCUCUGUACCAACAGCAGAGAGCCUGGAGUGGGGCUCAAAUCCAUGAACAGUGAGAUCAUGACCAGAGCCGAUAUCAGAUUCUUAACUGACUGAGCCACCCAGGCACCCCGUUAGUAGUCUUUUACUGUCCUUUGUAUUUCUGUGGUAUCGAUUUUAACAUCUUUUCUUUCAUUUCUGAUUUAUUUGAAUCCUCUCUCUUUUUUUUUUUAAUCCAUUCAGCCACACUUCCAGACUGUCAUGUAAUUGGGAUCAUAGAGAUAUAGGUUUUCCAGAUUGGCUUCUGUCACUUACUAAUAUGCAUUUAAGAUUCCUGUGUUGCUUUGUAGCUUGAUAGUUCAUUUAUUUUUAUCACUAAACUAUAUUCCAUUGUAUGUAUGUACCACAGUAUACAUUUAUCCAUUCACCUAUUGAAGGACAUCUUGGUUGUUUCUGGUUUGGGAAAAUUAUAAAUAAAGCUGCUACAAAUAUUUAUGUGUAGGGUUUUGUGUGCACAUAAAUGUUCAAUUUAUUUGGGUAAAUACUUACAAGUGCAAUUGUUUGAUCAUAUAGUAUGCAUAUGUUUAGCUUUAUAUCAAACUGCCAAACUAUCUUCCCAAGUGCUGUAUACCACUUUGCAUUCUCACCAACAAUGAGAGUUCCUGUUGUUCUGCAUCCUUCCCAGCAUUUGGUGUUGUUACUAUUUUGGAAUUAGAGUUGGUAUCCCAUUACUGUUUCAAUUUAAAAUUCACUGAUCACAUGUGAUGUUGAGUACCUUUUUAUAUGCUUAUUUGUGUCUCCUUUCCUUUUUUUUUCAUGGUUAGGUUAACUAAGGUUUAUCAUUUUUUGCUGAUCUUUUCAAAGAAGCAGCUCUUGGUUUCUUUGAUUUCUGGUUUUCGAAUUCAUUAAUUUCUUCUCAUUUUCUUCUCCUCUGCUUGCUUUCACUUAAACUGCUCUUCCUACUCUAAUUGUCUUAGGUGGAAAUAGAUUAUUGAUUUUAGAUCUUUCUUCUUUUUUAGUAUAAUUGUUCAAUGCCAUAAAUUUCCCUGGAAACAUUGUUUUUGCUGCAUCCCACAAAUUUUGAUAUUUAGUUUGAAAUAUUUUAAACAUUUCUUUGGUGACUUCUUUCAUCCGCUUGUUCUUUAGAAGUGUGUUGUUUAAUGUCUAGUUAUGGGAUUUUUCAGCUGUCUUUCUGUGCACUAUUGUCUGAGAUCAUUCUUUAUUUGAUUUCUACUAUCUUAAAUGUGUUAAGAUGUGUUUUAUCAUCCAGAAUGUAGUUUAUCUUGGUGAAUGAUCUCUGUGAGUUUGAGAAGAAUGUGUAGUCUGCUGUUGUAUGAAGUCUUCUAUACAUGCUAAUUUGAUCUAAUUGAUUGAUGAUACUAUUCAGUUAAUUGUAUUCUUAGUCCUUUUCUGCCUGCAGGAUCUGUCAAUUAUUAAGAGAGGGGUGUUGAAGUUUUCAACUACAAUAGUGGCUUUGUCUGUUUCUCCUUGCAAUUCUAUUGGGUUUUGCCUCAUGUAUUUUGAUACUGUGUUGUUAGGUGCAUACACAUUAAAGAUUUUAAUUUCUUCUUAUAGAUUUGACCCCUUUGUUCAUUAUUCAAUACCCCUCUUUAUCAUCAGAUAAAGAUUUUUCUUGUUCUGAAGUCUGCUUUGCCUGAAAAUAACUAUUCCAAUUUUCAUUUGUUAGUGUUAACAUGGUAUAUCUUUCUCCAUUCCUUUACUUUUUAAUCUAUCUGCAUGUUUCUAUCUAAAGCGAGCUUCCUGUGGAAAACAUAGUUGUGUAUUUUUUAUCUGUUUUAACAAUUUGUCUUUUAAUUGGCAUAUUCACAUUUUAAGUAGUUAUUGAUAUGGUUGGAAUAAUAUCUGUCAUGUUUGUAACUCUUUUCUAUUUUUUUCCACUCUUGUUUGUUUCUUGUCUUUUCCUGUUUGUCUGCCCUCUACGGUUUUAGUUGAACAUUUUAAUUCUAUUUUCUAUCCUCUUUUAGCAUAUCAAUUGCAUAAAUUAAAAAAAAAUUUUAAUGUUCAUUCAUUUUUGAGAGACAGAGAAAGACAGAGGGUGAGUGAGUGAGGGGCACAGAGAAGGAGACACAGAAUCUGAAGCAGGCUCCAGGCUCUGAGCUGUCAGCAUAGAGCCCAAUGCGGGGCUCAAACCCAUAAACCACGAGAUCAUGACCUAAGCUGAAGUUAGAUGCUUAAUCGACUGAGCAACCCAGGUGCUCCCCACUUUUUAAAUUAUUUUUUAAAUACUGCAUUAAAUAUUUUUAGAGGUGCCCUAGAGUUUGCAAUAUACAUUUACAAGUAAUCUAAUUCUGCUUUUUUUUUUAAUUCUACUUUCAAGUAACACUAUACUACUUCAUAGAGAGUGCAGGUACCUUAUAACAAGGUAUUUCCAACUCUUCCCUCCCAUCCCUUAUAACAUUGUUGUCAUUCAUUUCACCUAUCUAUAUGCUAUAAUCUCCCAGAACAUUGUUGCUAUGAUUGCUUUGAAGAAACAGUAAUUGAUUAGAUAAAUUAAGAAUUAGAGAGUUGUAUGUCAAUUAUACUUCAAUAAUAGAAAAGAAUUAGAAAAACAAACUAUUUUUCUUUGCCUUUGUUUAUUUCUUCCCAGGUAUUCUUCCUUUCUUUAUGUAGAUCUGAGUUUCUGACCUGUAUCAUUUUGUUUUUCUCUGAAGAACUCUUAACAAACCUUGUAGUAUAGGUGUAAUGGUGACUCCCUCAGCUUUUGUUUGUCUGAGAAAGUCUAUUUCUCCUUCCUAUUUGAAUCAUGAUUUCACUGAAUACAAUUUUUUAUACAAUUUUUUUAUGUUGGUAGUUUUCCUUUAAAAAUCUUAAAUAUAUCACUCUACUCCCAUUACAUUUGCAUGGUUCUUCACUAGAAGUCUGAUGUCAUUCUUAUAUUUGUUCUUCACAGGUAACAUGUUAUUUUUAUCUGGCUUCUUUCAAGAUUUUCUCUUUGCUUUUGCUUUUCUGAAGUUUGAAUGUGGUAUGUAUAAGUGUAAUUACUUUUUGGUAUUAAUCUUAUUUGAUAUUCUAUGAGCUUUCUGAAUCUAUGGUUUGGUAUCCGUCAUUAAUUUUGAAAAAUUUAUAGUCAAACAUUUCUUUCAUUCCUUUCUUUCCUCUCUUUCCCAUAUUCCCAUUACAUCUAUGUUAUCCCUUUUCUAAUUGUCCCACAGUUCUUGGAUAUUAUCUUUUUUUUUAAUCUUUUCUCUUUGCAUUUGAGUUUGGGAAAUUUUUGCUGAUGUGUCUUCAAGGACACAGAUUCUUCCCUCAGCAGUGUCCAGUCUUUGAAAUGAGCCCAUUAAAAGCAUUUUUCAUUUCUUUUAUAGUCUGUUUUCUAGCAUUUACUUUUGAUUCUUUCUUAGAUUUUCCAUAUCUUUGCUUACAUUAUUCGUCUGUUCUUAUAUGUUAUCUACUUUUUUCCUUGGAUUCUUUAAUAGAUUAAUCAGAGUUAUUUAAAAUUCCCUAUCUAAUAAUUCCAAAAUAUGUGCCAUAUCUGAGUUAGUUUCUGAUGUUUGCUUUUUCUUUUCAGAACAUGUUUUUUUGUAUUUUUUUUAACACAGCUGGUAAAUUUUUGGUGUAAGUCAGAUAUGAUGUAUUAGGUAAUAGGAGCAGGUAAUGGGAUUUUUACACUUGAUCUUAGCCAAAAGGCCGAGAAGCAAUGUGAUUUUUGGUGAGGUUGUAUGAUAAUAUUUCUCCUAGGAGAUAGGCUGUGUUUAAUGUUUGCUGUAGCUGUAGGUGCCAUAGGCUUCAGCUUCCUCUAGUUUCCAUGUGUUUCUUUGUUUUGUUUGUUUUUACUCCCCUUGUCUUUGUGCUUAACUAAGUUCUUAAAUUGAGUCUGUAUUACAGAUGUCUCAGCUGUAAUCUACUGACAUACUGAGGUCCUGCUGAUGUGAUGGUAAGGAAUUAUGGAGGAAACAUUUUCUAUAAUCUUAUGAUAAAAAUCUCAUUUUUCUAGGGAGCAUAAGUCCCUGGGCUUCAGUAGUGCUUCUUACCUUUUGUUUUUCUCCUUUCCUCCUUACCAGUGAUAGGAAGGCUAAAGGGGACUUGAUGUGGCCAAGUGCCCUCUUUAGGUCAAAUAAGACUCUGAUAGUGUAGUUGCCCUUGAAGGGUAGGUUUUUCCUAUAGAGGGGCUCUGGGAGUAUUUCAAAAUGGUUACUUUUUCUCUCCCCACAGAAAGAAAAUUUUCUCUCAUCUUCAAGGCAAGAAUCUGGUGAGAUUGCUAGAGGUUAAACCCAUGAACAUGUGGGGGUCUCUCUAAGACUGGGCCCUAGGAGUUUCUAACUCUCAAGCUAGUCUAUAUUCAGUCUCCAGAAAUUCAUCAAAAUUAUCAUGUGAGCGUUCCUACCCAUUUAUAUCUACAGUGCCUUCUGCCUCAGAUAAACUGAUCUCAGCUGUGGUUCUCUAUAUUCACCAGUCUUUCUAGAUUUGGGUGUGGCAAUUUGCUCUGUAACUUCAGUUCUUUGAUGGAUCUAAGAAAAGUUACUGCUUUUCAGCUUGUUCAGUGUUUUUCUUGUUGUAAGCAUGGGAGUGACAACUUCCAAGCUCUUUACAUGUCAUUCUCAAAAAACAUAUUUUAACACCCUUAUUGAAUUGUAUUUUACAUAUUAUAAAAUUCGCCUAUUUCAAAUGUACAAUUGAAUGUUUUUAGAAAUUUACUGAGCAGUGCAACCAUCAUCAUAUAUCAGUUUUAGAAUAUUUUCACUUCCCAAGUUGGGGAAUAUACUUUUGAUAACUCUAACUCCCUUACAGAAAUCCUCCCACAUGUCCAGGCCUAAAUGCCCUUGCUGAUAUUCUCCAAAGUUUUACUCUAUCUGGUAAAAUACUAUGUGCUAGAACUCUUCUUUCUCUGUUUUGUUUACCUCUGUGAUUGGAUUUGGAGUUAGAAGAUUCCAUGUUAUCACUUACUGUCUUUAUCAUCAUAGGCAAUUCACUUUAAACUUUGGAGAAUUUCCUGAGUCAAGAAAGCAGAAAUUAUUUAUCCUGAUAUUCCCUACAACUAGCAAAAUAGUGGGAACAUAAGUGAUGAUCAGUAAAUAUUUGUGAAUGAACAAAUCUGGAAUCACUUUCAAGAUUCAUGAAAUGGUGAUGUUGGACAAGAUUAGGAGGUGUGUUCAUGAAUCUAUGUACACAGUUUUGAGGGGUACAGGAAGGUCAUGAUACCAUAUAAAAAAUUGGGGGGAUAUAGCUUUCAUGAGAUUUUCAAAGGGUUCAAGCCCCAAAGGAGUGAAGAGCAAUGGACUAGAUAAUAUCCAAGGACUUUUGCAGCUCAAACAUUCUGUCAGUCAAUAUAUACCUGUAUUUUUUGUUCCUAACUCAGGACUUUUAUAACCCAGAUGUUAUAUAACUUAGAGCCUUUUGGCAUUUGUCUCUAGUUAUUAAUAAUAUUUCCUAUUAUACCACAUAUAUGAAUUUGUACAAGCAAUGGUAAAAGGUAGAGCCCACAUUAUUUAGGCUCAAAGAUCGCCAGGUACUAAUUCCCCCAAAUCUAAAUCUUGGUAUCUCACCGUCUCUAGCACACCAUGAAUACUGAAGUUGAAGGACUGAAGGGAAAAUAAAUUACCAGGUCUGCAAAUCAGACUUGGGCUUAACUUAUCCAAAUAGCAGCAUGUGUGGAAGAGGUCAAAAUGAGAGUUUAGUUUGCCUAGCCAGACCCAAGAGCCAGGCUCUGUUUAGACCAGCUUAUCACUUCAAAGUAAAACACAGGAUCAUCCCUUAAAUGACCACCAUGAAUUAGGUCACAACUCUUCAUUUUUUUAGGAGGCAAACAGGUGGACAAAAGAGGCAGAUCUGAUGUGGAAAGAAGGUGCUGAAAUUUCCCUCCCUCCUACCUUGGACAUUAAACUUACUUUGAUUGAUAGGCUGUCAUUCAUCACUCAAGCAUGAUUUUGCCUUGAGCAUAACUUGAAUUUGAAGAAUGCUUUGUUGUUCUAACAAAUGCUUUAUUGUUCUUGCUACAUAACCUUUCCGCAGGCCAACUUCUGUAGCAUUUCCACAUAUCCUCAUUCAGCCAUGAAGUUAUUGCUAAUACUUAGACUCUUGACAGAUUGGAUUUAUGCUUAAUCAAAAAAUUUUUACUCACUCAUACCAAAUACAUACACACAGAUAUGUAUAUAUACAAAU